rnacentral:rRNA from 1 species
GAUGAACGCUAGCGGGAGGCCUAACACAUGCAAGCCGAGCGGUAUAGAAUCUUCGGAUUUUAGAGAGCGGCGUACGGUGCGGAACACGUGUGCAACCUACCUUUAUCUGGAGGAUAGCCUUUCGAAAGGAAGAUUAAUACUCCAUAAUAUAUUGAUUGGCAUCAAUUAAUAUUGAAAGCUCCGGCGGAUAGAGAUGGGCACGCGCAAGAUUAGUUAGUUGGUGAGGUAACGGCUCACCAAGACGAUGAUCUUUAGGGGGCCUGAGAGGUGAUCCCCCACACUGGUACUGAGACACGGGCCAGACUCCUACGGGAGCAGCAGUGAGGAAUAUUGGACAAUGGGUGCAAGCCUGAUCCAGCCAUCCCGCGUGAAGGACGACUGCCCUAUGGGUUGUAAACUUCUUUUGUAUAGGGAUAAACCUCUCCUCGUGAGGAGAGCUGAAGGUACUAUACGAAUAAGCACCGGCUAACUCCGUGCCAGCAGCCGCGGUAAU